rnacentral:rRNA from 1 species
GUCAGCUAAGUGGCGCACGGGUGAGUAAUGUAUAGCUAACAUGCCCCUUAGAGGGGGAUAACAGUUGGAAACGACUGCUAAUACCCCAUAUGCCUCUAAUACAAAAGUAUGCGAGGGAAAGGAAUUUUCGCUAAGGGAUUGGGCUAUAUCGUAUCAGCUAGUUGGUGAGGUAAAGGCUCACCAAGGCUAUGACGCGUAGCUGGUCUGAGAGGAUGAUCAGCCACACUGGAACUGAGACACGGUCCAGACUCCUACGGGAGGCAGCAGUGAGGAAUAUUGCACAAUGGGGGAAACC